UACGUAGGGGGCAAGCGUUAUCCGGAUUUACUGGGUGUAAAGGGAGCGUAGACGGUGAUGCAAGUCAGAAGUGAAAGCCCGGGGCUCAACUCCGGGACUGCUUUUGAAACUGUGUGACUGGAGUGCAGGAGAGGUAAGCGGAAUUCCUGGUGUAGCGGUGAAAUGCGUAGAUAUCACACAGAACACCGAUUGCGAAGGCAUCUCACGAAUCCGCUAUUGACGCUGAUGCACGAAAGCGUGGGUAUCAAACAGG
rnacentral:rRNA from 1 species